AACGAACGCUGGCGGCAUGCCUAACACAUGCAAGUCGAACGAACCCUUCGGGGUUAGUGGCGCACGGGUGCGUAACGCGUGGGAAUCUGCCCUUUGCUUCGGAAUAACUCAGGGAAACUUGUGCUAAUGCCGGAUGAUGUCUUCGGACCAAAGAUUUAUCGGCAAGGGAUGAGCCCGCGUAGGAUUAGGUAGUUGGUGGGGUAAAGGCCUACCAAGCCGACGAUCCUUAGCUGGUCUGAGAGGAUGAUCAGCCACACUGGGACUGAGACACGGCCCAGACUCCUACGGGAGGCAGCAGUGGGGAAUAUGGGACAAUGGGCGCAAGCCUGAGCCAGCAAUGCCGCGUGAGUGAUGAAGGCCCUCGGGUCGUAAAGCUCUUUUACCAGGGAUGAUAAUGACAGUACCUGGAGAAUAAGCUCCGGCUAACUCCGU
rnacentral:rRNA from 1 species